rnacentral:lncRNA from 1 species
GUUUAUUUCCAUGUAAAACACAGAUGAAAUCAGGACUUUCAUUUCUUUAGCCAUAUUAGUAGUAGGCAUUAAUAGUAUAUAGCCAAAAAGCAAAACAAACAAAAAAAGUUGAAGGGUAGUUUUAAUUAAGCCCUCCAAAAUAUAAAUUUAACUCUUCAGAAUUAAACACCCUGCUCUAUGGACCAACAGAAGCACUUGCUGCCAAACCUAGUGGACUCCUUGAGAAAGUAUCUGUGGCCAUGUCCAUGUGGGUCAUGUGGAGCGAGAACUCACUCCCACAGUUGUCCUCUAAGCUCCACAGACGGCCGUGGUGCAUUGCGCUGACACACAUAAUUCAUAAACGUAAUAAACAACCACUGUUCUAAAGAGUCAGCUCUUACAUGACUCCCAUUUUAAAGGACUCUAAGCUUUGCUUUCCUUUAUAGCAUAAGAAAAUAAUUUCCUAUUCAUAUGCUGGGAGAGGAGAUAAGUAAACUACCAAAAUAGCUCCUAUGUAUAAUCAUGUGUUUAUCCAGUUAGCACUGUAAAAGGAACAUACAUAUUACUAAGAAGCAAAAAAUUUUCAGAGUAUUUUGAUUUUUUUAAUUAAAUCACUAUGCUUAAUCUUCUAUUUUGUUCUCCUUAUAAAUUUUUCCUUCAUAAAUUACUUAACAUACUUAUAGCUACUAAUGAGUCUUUUACAUUUUUUGAGCAAAACAAAACAAAUUGUCAGGAAAAUAUUGCAUACAUUGUGAUACUGAUGAAAUGAAGCAUUUUAAAAAUAUAUUACACAAUUGUGCUUCUAAACUUAAUGUAAAAUGCAUAGUAUUCAAGUGGGACAUGAAAUGCACUAUUAUGCAGCUUGAAAUGUAUCGAUUUCCAAAGUGAGUGUGAGCCGGGUGCAGCGGCACUAGGCGUCGAUCCCGGCACUCUGGAGGCAGAGGCAGGCAGAUCUCUGAGUCCUAGGCCAGCCAGGGUUGCGGAUUAAAACCUUGACCGUAUCUCAUAUUACCUUUGUGCUAAUAUCUACAUAAUCUAACUUGCCUUAGAAAACUGCAUCUUCUAAUCAGGAAUUCUAGAUAUUCCUAUAAUACCAAAUUAAGUAUUUUGACUGAGAUUCAUAAAUUUAGAAUCAUUUGCCACUGAUUAAAACUUUAAAAAUUCUUUUCUCAGGAAGCCAAUGAAAGUUAACUUCUAUCCUAUUAUUAGAACUAUGCAGAUAUAUUAAAACAUUUUAAUGAAGGCUUUUUCAUUUCAAAUGUAUAACUGGGUUUUAUUUACUAUAAAGUAAUAAAACUAUAUAAAUGAUACUUUUAGAUUGAAAGAGGGUAGUAAGAGUAGCAAAUCCUAAGUUACAGUGUGAGAUGCUAUCUCCCAAAACAUCCUCACAAACAAAAACACUAGUGUAUCAUUUCACCAUAAAGAAUACCUCAGGAGCCUAGGACAAAACUCAGUAAUGGAGUCACACCAGCCUUAGGACCUGAGUUUGAACUUGGAGACAAGUUGUUCUCUGGAUUUACAAGGUAGCCAACUCAGCCUAACUAGCGAGCCCCAGAUCCAAGGGCUCAAUCCUGUAUCAAAAAAAGCAAGGUGGAUGGCUCCUGAGGAAUGACAGCCAAGACUGACAUCUGGCUUCCACAUCCACACACACAUAUGCACACAUUCAGAAAUAUAGAUGUAUACACAAAAAAGAUAUCUCAGGAUGCUGUUACUCUGCCAUUAAAAGUUUGCAAUCGUGAAUUUUUAAAAUACUUGGUUAUGCACAUUGUAGAAUACAUUUCUGUUCAUAUAACUAACUUGUAACCAAUCUUAAUAGUCUUUCUUAAUAGUCUUUGGGAAUUAAGAGAGUCAUAGGUGAUUAAAAUGUAUAUGCUUUGUAUUUGUGUUUAGCAUUUUAAAUCUGUCUUUACUUCUGAUAAUAAGAACCCACAUUUCUUCGGUGUGCCUUUGUCAGCUAAGAAUGUCAAGCAGUGAUUACCUUAAAAGUAUUUAUGAACUAUUGUACGUGCAUUUAGGCAAAUAGAGUUUGUAGCCCAGGGUCCUGGUGCUAAAUUCUUACAUGCCUCACUAGAAGUAUGGAGCAGAAAAGCAGGCGUUCCUGUGCUUUCCCCAUCUCUUUAGAUGUGCGUGGCCUUGCCUGACUGCCUUUGCUUGUGUGACAUCACUUAGCCAGAGUCCCCACUGCUGGCUUUGCUCACUUCUCUUUAGACAAUAUUCCAGUAAGCUUGAUCUCAUAAUUAUGUAGUAAUUCAUCUAGAGAUGGUGCCUUUCACUGUGGGGUAUAACAUUAGAGCCCUUAGUAAGGAAGGAGAUGGAGGUCUAAAUGGGGCCAAGACAAAGACUUUAUCUAGUUCCUAUUAAUUGUAGGCUUUCACUGGCUGCUGGCAUUUGUCAUUGAACAUCUCUGAGUUUCUGAGAACAAUCUGAAGUAAUUCAUUGUGCUUAUGAAAUUUCUAAGUGCCCUUUUUGUCCUUAGUUACCAUAAUGUAACAUGGAAAAUGGAUACACAAAAAAUAUUUUGUGUGUCAUAUUCAAAGCCUUAUUAAUACUUUGCCUGAAAUAGGACAUUUUGCCUCAUUCAUUUGCCAAAGUAGCCAAUUCCAAAAUAAGGAAACUUUGAUGUGGGCUGACAAUAUUCUUGUGUUUUAUUUUAGAUUGUAAACUUGAUGGUAAGAAAUUAUAUCAAUAAUUGUGCUUUUUAUGUACCAACCAUUGCUGUGUACUUUUGGUGCUUAAUAAAUAUUCAUAAUUAUUAUAGUG